UCUCAACUUUAUUAGAAGAGACGCAUUUAUUAGAUAAAAAGCCAAUGCAUGCUUUUACAGUAUGGAAAUUGGUGAUUUAUAAUAACUUAGCAAAUCGCAAAGUGAAAACAGGCGAUAAAUCAUUCAAGUUUCUGACCUAUCAGCUUUCGACGGUAUGGUAUUGGCUUACCGUGGCAGUGACGGUUAACGGGGGAUUAGGGUUCGAUUCCGGAGAGGGAGCCUGAGAAACGGCUACCACAUCUAAGGAAGGCAGCAGGCGCGCAAAUUACCCAAUUCUAACAGUUUGAGAGAGGUAGUAACAAGAAAUAACAAUACAAGGCAAUUAAAAUGCUUUGUAAUUGGAAUGAUAGAAAUUUAAACCCUUUUUAAAGUAUCAAUUGGAGGGCAAGUCUGGUGCCAGCAGCCGCGGUAAUUCCAGCUCCAAUAGCGUAUAUUAAAAUUGUUGCAGUUAAAAAGCUCGUAGUUGAAGUUCUGCUAAAAGUAACCGGUCUGCUUUUAAUAAAAGUGGUAUCUUGGUGUGUAUUUAGCAAUGAUGUCCUUUGAAGUGUUUUUUACUUUAUUGUAAUAAAGCAUAUUCAGGACUUUUACUUUGAGAAAAUUAGAGUGUUUCUAGCAGGCCGACGCUUUGAAUACUGCAG
rnacentral:rRNA from 1 species